GGCGCUAUGGCCGAGUGGUUAAGGCGACAGACUUGAAAUCUGUUGUGCGUCGCACGCGUGGGUUCGAACCCCACUGGCGCCG
rfam:Giardia lamblia ATCC 50803 SC_572 genomic scaffold, whole genome shotgun sequence.